rnacentral:tRNA from 1 species
ACAUCAGUGGUUCAGUGGUUGAAUUCUCUCCUUCCAUGUGGGAGACCUGGGUUCAAUUCCCAGCCAGUGCA